GUAAAAAUGGUAAAAGUUGAUACCUUCAGUUUUUCUACCACUCAUCCCCUUGGCAAAUUGCUGUUUUUAACUUGAGAAUAUUAUAACACUUGGUUUAUAUGCUAAACUUACUUCAAGUUUUUAUAAAAUUUGGCCUUCCACAGACUAAAUAAAUGACUUUCAUUUCUGUUUUACAGUUUCACUCUCAAAGGAUUUAAAACUUGUAAACAUAGUAACCUUGCAUGACAUUGUUCACCCAGAUAAACCUUUGACUCUGAUCCUUGAGUAUCUGGUGAAACUGUCUUGCUGGUGUUUAAACUCAAAAACAUGGUGAACAAUGCAAAAAAGUGAAAGGGUCACAGAAAAAGCAGCCAGUAUUUUGGCUUUUCAAUCUAAAGUCAUCCAGGAUUCAAAGAAUGACAGGACACCUCUCUUGGCCUUGCACCUCUGGAGAAACUACAUUGGAGAUUUUGCUGCCCACUUUCCAUAUAAAUAGAAGCCAGAAAUUCACAGUGGGUCAAUGUAACAGAGGAUCACUUGAUGCUUUGAGUAUAUUCCUUGUCACUUUAAAAAUCAUAUAUAUUUUUCUUUUUCCUAACCAUUUCCCUGACCUUCUCCUUAAUCUUCUUUUCUCUAAACUUUCCCCUAAUUUUAAUCCUAAACUUCUCCUCCCUCAUCUUCUUUUCCUUGAUUUUCUCCUUCCUCAAUUUAUUUUCUCUCAUCACUUCUAUAAAUACUCCCAGUUCCUGAUUAUGGGCAAAAUCACGGUCAUUGGAACAGGUGUCCUUGCAAUUUUCCUUUUCUAGCAAGACAAUAUCCAAUCAUUUUUCCUUUUCUGAAAAUUAUCCUCAUUGUUUGAUUGGCAUCAGGGACAAUAACUGAACUUCUGGCAACAACCUCACUCCCACUGAAGCCAUCACUAGUCUCAUAUUUUAUUCAAUAAGCAAAUUAACAGCAACAAAUUAUGUGUACAUAAGAGAGAUUUUGAAUAAGCUUCUGAUUAUUAGUUUUCACUACAAUUUUAAAUGGAUAUUUGAGGCAAAUUUGCAAUUUCUAUCACAAAAUGUAACCAUAACACCUCUGUAUAUAAAAAGGAGAGAGAGAGAGUACUAUUUUACAGUAUUUCAUGGUAUUUCCUUCCAUGAUACAUGCCCUAACUUACCCAUCUUCUUAAAAUUUGGAAGCAAUAAACUACAUGUA